AUUGAACGCUGGCGGCAGGCCUAACACAUGCAAGUCGAACGGUAACAGGAAGAAGCUUGCUUCUUUGCUGACGAGUGGCGGACGGGUGAGUAAUGUCUGGGAAACUGCCUGAUGGAGGGGGAUAACUACUGGAAACGGUAGCUAAUACCGCAUAACGUCGCAAGACCAAAGAGGGGGACCUUCGGGCCUCUUGCCAUCGGAUGUGCCCAGAUGGGAUUAGCUAGUAGGUGGGGUAACGGCUCACCCAGGCGACGAUCCCUAGCUGGUCUGAGAGGAUGACCAGCCACACUGGAACUGAGACACGGUCCAGACUCCUACGGGAGGCAGCAGUGGGGAAUAUUGCACAAUGGGCGCAAGCCUGAUGCAGCCAUGCCGCGUGUAUGAAGAAGGCCUUCGGGUUGUAAAGUACUUUCAGCGGGGAGGAAGGGAGUAAAGUUAAUACCUUUGCUCAUUGACGUUACCCGCAGAAGAAGCACCGGCUAACUCCGUG
rnacentral:rRNA from 1 species